rnacentral:rRNA from 1 species
AUGGAAGCUCCAGCCCCAGAUUGGUCCGGGCUACCUGCGGAUAUAUUAACCAGCGUCCUCCAGUUGCUGGAGUGCCCGGAUCUACUCCGAUCCGCCUCCGUCUGCACAGCCUGGCACACGACGGUCUCUGCGCUCCGCCGUGUCGGUGUUUGCCCUGCAUGCCAGACGCCCUGUUUACUCUAUUGCACUGAGGCCGCCGGCGGGAGCGCUCUUGGCAUGUACAGUCUUUCAGAGCGAAAGGCCUACACCAUACCCUUACCUGAACCUCCCAUCAACAACUGGAUCGGCUCAUCACACGGAUGGAUAGUCAGCAUGGAUGAAAAGUCUGACCUGACGCUGCUCAAUCCGCUCACUGGUGACAGGAUUGCACUCCCUCCGGCGACGGCCAUGGAGCACGUUAAACCUAUCCUGAAUGACGACGGAGCUCUUGUGAAGUAUGUGGUGUCUUACUACGACGGAGGGCUUCCGAGGGUGGAGGAUACACCCUAUGCAUCUGAUUUGGAUGAGUAUGGUGAUUUUUUCUAUCUUAAGGCAACUUUAUCAUCUGAUCCAUCAAAAGGUGAAUGCACUGUCAUGCUCAUCCACCAGCCAUACGGGCAGCUCUCGUUUGCCAAAGUGGGAGAUGUUCACUGGAAUUGGCUCAAAAUAUGUAAUUUCUAUGCAGAUUGCAUAUCCCAUGAUGAAUGGUUCUAUGCAAUGACCGAUAAAGGUGCAAUUGAUGUGUUUAAUUUAAAUGGACCAGCUGUCAUCCACAAAAGAGUUUUGCCAAAUAUGUUUUUGUUUGGUGAAAGAUCAUACAUUGUUAAGGCCCCAUGGGGAGAUGUCCUCCAGGUCGAUAGAAAGCAGAUUUUGGAUCGUGAACGACCAGGUGGUGAGACGUAUAUCACAAAAAUUGAAGUGUACAAGAUUUUGCUGAGCAGAAGCGUGACAAGAUGGCUGGAAUAG